rnacentral:rRNA from 1 species
GCGCGAUUGAAUGAGCCGAUGUCGGAUUAGCUAGUUGGCGGGGUAAAGGCCCACCAAGGCGACGAUCCGUAGCUGGUCUGAGAGGAUGAUCAGCCACACUGGAACUGAGACACGGUCCAGACUCCUACGGGAGGCAGCAGUGGGGAAUAUUGGACAAUGGGCGCAAGCCUGAUCCAGCCAUACCGCGUGGGUGAAGAAGGCCUUCGGGUUGUAAAGCCCUUUUGUUGGGAAAGAAAUCCAGCCGGCUAAUACCCGGUUGGGAUGACGGUACCCAAAGAAUAAGCACCGGCUAACUUCGUGCCAGCAGCCGCGGUAAUACGAAGGGUGCAAGCGUUACUCGGAAUUACUGGGCGUAAAGCGUGCGUAGGUGGUCGUUUAAGUCCGUUGUGAAAGCCCUGGGCUCAACCUGGGAACUGCAGUGGAUACUGGGCGACUAGAGUGUGGUAGAGGGUAGCGGAAUUCCUGGUGUAGCAGUGAAAUGCGUAGAGAUCAGGAGGAACAUCCAUGGCGAAGGCAGCUACCUGGACCAAC